CAUUUUAAGACCUAACCAGGAACGACUGCGAAAAAUGCAGCACAAAGUCGUUUUUCGCAGUCGCCCCUGGUUAGGUCUUAAAAUGUAUAUAUU